rnacentral:rRNA from 1 species
AUCAAAGUGGCAAUAUCAGAUGAGUAGGAGGGCGUGGCGGUCGUAUGGAAGCGUUCGUGCGAACGAGCGUGAAACGGCCGCUAGUGCAGAUCUUGGUGGUAGUAGCAAAUAUUCAAGUGAGAUCCUUGAAGGACGAAGCGGGGAAGGGUUCCACGCGAACAUUGAUUGAGCGUGGGUGAGUCGUUCCUAAGCCGAGUGGUAAUUGCUAAUUACCGGCGAAAGGGAAGCAGGUUGACAUUCCUGCACACGGAUGUGGAGGCGGUGACGCCGUAUUGGGGUGAUGACGUCGGCAGUGGAUCUGGGCAGAGUUUUCUUUUCUGUUUAACCGUCUUUGUUCGCUGUGUGGAAUCCGCUUGUCGGGAGAAACACGCGAACUCGGGCAGAGCGCCGGGGCUUUUCCGGCGUCCAGAUCUCCAUUGACGACCCUUGAAAAAUCACUUACUGGACAUUUAUUCUUCGGAAUUUUUGUGAAAUCCACGCCGUGGCGUACCGAUAACCGCAUCAGGUCCCCAAGGUGAACAGCCUCUGUCCAAUAUGAAAAAUGCAGGUAAGGGAAGUCGGCAAAUUAGACCCGUAACUUUGGGAAAAGGGUUGGCUCUAGUGCUGCGUGGGAUUGGUCGGCUCGCGUUUUGCGGUUUGGUGCCGGGGCGUUGUACUGCGAUGGGACCUCGUGUUCUGUUGUGGUUGAUGCCUCAUGCUCAUAUUGCUACGCUUGACGACGCCCUCAGCAUGCAUCAAGCUAGAUCGGCAAUCGGGCAAAGGGAAUCGGAC